CAAAAACAUUAGCAUUGGAAGCUAAAAAUUAGGCCCAGCCUAUACUUUGA
rnacentral:tRNA from 1 species